rnacentral:rRNA from 1 species
UACAGAGGGUGCGAGCGUUAAUCGGAAUUACUGGGCGUAAAGCGCGCGUAGGCGGCUUCGUAAGUCCGUUGUGAAAGUCAAAGGCUCAACCUUUGAAAGCCGAUGGAUACUGCGGAGCUAGAGUACGGAAGAGGCGAGUGGAAUUCCUGGUGUAGCGGUGGAAUGCGCAGACAUCAGGAGGAACACCAAUAGCGAAGGCAGCUCGCUGGGACGUUACUGACACUGAGGCGCGAAAGCGUGGGGAGCGAACAGG